UUUGUCGUGCGACAUUUGGUUUCGUCCUGCCCCCGCCGUACGUCCGCGCCUCCGCAGCGUUCGUACUUGGAAACAUCCGUCAUCCCCUCCCCGAUCCCCUCCCCCUUUCCUAUCUUGUCCGCGCGCAGUCGAUCCGCUCCGCAGCAACCGAGCUCAGUCGAUCCGCGCCUUGCCUCGGCAAGACAUUCCGCCGAGCGCCGUCCGCCCUGAGACCGAGCGUCGAACGCAGUCGAUCCGCGCCUCGGCAAGACCUGCCGUCGAGCACCGUCCGCCGUCAGAUCUGGCGCCGAGCGCAGUCGAUCCGCCGCGCCUCGGCGGCCGAGAGUCCGUCGCGAGACCGGGCGCCGAGCGCAGUCGAUCUGUGCCUCGCCUCGACGAGAGCGUCCGCCGCGCGCCGGUCGCCGUCCGCCACGAGACCCGAGCGCAGUCGAUCCACGGAGCGGAGCUUGUGGUGGCUUCGGCGUCCUCCCGCGGAUGGAGAUCCAUAACCUUCUCCAUGCGGCGUGGCCUCGUGGACUUGGCGUGGCGUGGACGGAGCUCAGCGACUUUCUCCGCUCGGCGCAGCGCGGCGCGGACGGAGCUUAGCGACACGAGACAGGCGUGGGUGGUGCGAAAUCAAGGGAGUCGAAUCCAGCCAGCCCAGGUGUAUUGUACAUCGCCGCCGUCGAAUGUCGUCCUCGAUUAAGUGGAGGAUCGUGCAGCUUCCUGAUGCUCCUUGCCUCCUUGAUAGCAGCGGCUUCCUCAGCUCCGGUCGGCAAGUAGGCACACAAAAAUGGCCCACAACUGUCUUCUUGGAAUAGUCAGAUUUGACUGGCCGGGCUCGCUGGAUUCGAGUGGCGAGUCUCGAUUUAGUGUGGUUGGAGGGUGUGAUUGAGGGGUUUUCAUUUUUGGAGAAGAUUCAGGAUUGGAGCUACCUCUAGACAAAAAUGCUCUGAUUAGAUUUAGGAGGGCUUGCAUCUGCUGUCAUUGCUGAGCAUCUCCAGUAAAGACUGGAAUUUUUUCGCCGUGUCAACCUUUAACCGUAUUUCAUGAUAAAAAAUAUCAUCAAACUCCAGUCUUACUAAAUCCCUACAUGAGAGAACAAUUUUCUUUGGCCUUCAACUUUGGGUUGUGAUUGGGAUUGCUGUUGGAGCGCCUCGUUUGGGUAUUCUUCUCAUUCGUCUCAUAUGCCUUAUCAUUCAAAGUUGUAUCAAGAGAUCACGCAAGGCACUCAAUGACUGUUGAAUGGCCCAGAUACCUCCACCGUAUAAAGAUAUCAAGGAAGUGGGGAUGGUGGACAAAUUUCCAGCCAAUGAUUUUUGUUGUACUGGAUGGGCUUUUACUCCAUAUUCAGUAAGAGCCUGAGCCUGUUGAAACUUAACAAAUAUGCAGUUUAGUUGGCUCAGCAGGUUGAAACAAAGAGAAGAAACAAUGUCUUUGUUUUUUUUUUUUGCAUUAUGGAUGGCUGUGAGGAACUCAGAUUAUCUUGGUUGGGGCCAUUGGUUCACUCUCACAAAUCUAGAGCUUGCAACCAACUGUUUUGCAAAAGAUAAUGUACUUUGUGUGGGUGGAUAUGGUGUUGUGUAUCAUGGAAGGUUAUCAAAUGGCACCUCGGAGUCUGUCAUGAAAAUCCUUUUUUUUAUUGGGUAAUCUAUCAUGAAAAUCAUUAACAACUAUGUUUAGGGUACUCAAAGGUAAGUACAGUUCUCUCA